GAGAGCCCUGGUGAAGCCAUGAGGAGCUGCAUUACAGAGAGCAGUGGCAUAGUAGAAAACCAGCUAGAAGAUCGUACAGAAAAUGGGUUUACAGAAGAAAAUCAGGCAGUGAAGAAGAAUUCACAGACAUUAAACCUAGCUGCUAAUCUCUUCCUGGUUACUCACCACCCUUUUCCCCAGUCAAGUAGCUUUCACUGUGUAUCACUGUGUCACCAAGGGAAGGCAACAGGACUCUGCCAAAACUCUACUGGAUAAAACCUCCCUCAGAAGCUCUUACUACCAAGUAGAAACAAUAGAUGAGGAUGGACUUGUGGCUGAGAAAGUGGGGUCUACCAACAAGCAGAGGUCAGUCCCUAGCAAUGCCAUUACUUUUCUGAUUAUUUUUCGCAAGUUCUAGUUCAAGUGCUCAGCUGAGCAGGACACGAAUUGCAGCAAAUCCUGGGCUUCAGCACAAGGCUCUCCCCAGACCUGCCUCAUCAGCAAUGGAGAGGCAGCCUCCCCAGGCACACGCAUGAUCAUAACACCUCCUGGCUUCUGGAUUUGAAGAUCAAGGAGACCUUCAGCCAUGUGAGCAAUGAUGCUGCAGGGCAGCCCCAGGCCCAGCAGGCCUGGAUAAGGGCAGAGCUUGAACCCACUGAAAGCCAGAAGGGCUGCAGGUUUGCUAGAAGGUGGUAGAAAUCAGUGACCACAAGUCAGUGACCCACAGCAUGUACUCCCACCCCAUCCCAGAAUGCUGAAAGCCCUGGGAUUCUUCAGCCAAGUUUAGAUGGCUGAGUUAAGGAUUGCUAAGCAAUCCCCACUCUAGCUUGAGAGAGAUUAAAUUAUGUUCCUCACUUUAUUUGAAUGUAUUUAAUGUUUAUUUCUAUAUGUGCAUGAGUACUUAAUUUGGCAUAAUUAUUGAGAUGAAUUGCAGCUAACAUUACAAGAAAAUUGUAACUUGUCAUAAAACAAGUGGGCCAUAUUAUAACAGAGCUGCUACCACACAGAAAUACUCGGCUACAAUAGCUUAACACAAAUAAAUCCACACUCCCCAACAUCAUACUUCUUUGGGGAGUUGAUUAAUUAUUAGGAAGUAAAAUGGCUAACAAAAUAGCAUAUAUAAAAAUAUCUUCUCACAUGAAUAAGAUUGUAAAUUUUAACUGUAUUUCAUGACAGCAAGUGUAAGCAAGAAUUACACACAAUGCAGUGAGCUGAAUGAAUUAAUAUGCCUAGGGUUUUUGUUGCUAGAAGUAGUUUGCUCUGUAUUAUAUUCAGUCAUUGUAACUGAUCUCAGCUGCAAUUUCGCUUUCUUCUCGCAGUUUAUAGGUGGUAGACAAACGUUUGUGCUAAAGAGGCCUUCCAACAAUGUUCAUCUUCAUAGCCUUUCCUACCCUGUGAGGCCUGACCUUCAGCAUGCAGGUCCUUUCCAUACAUUAGAAAGAUAGAGUUGCUGCUUUCACCUCUUGUCCUUCUCUGCCUGCUGCAAUCCAGUCCUUGUUGUCCUUAGCCCCUAUGGUCCUCCACAGUUUAGCCACCCAGGUACAUUCUUCUCAUAAAGUUAAGAAACCAAGAAUGUUGAAGACAGAGGCAAAGAAUGUGUUAAGCAUCUCUGAGUUGUUCAUGGCCAUUUUUGUGAUGUGACCCUCCUCAUCCUUACUGCUAUAUUUGCACUGUGUAUUGACAUCAGUAUAUUUUAAAAAAAUCAUUUUAUUGUCCUGCACAGUUCUGUCCAUCUUCAAUCCCAGUUGAGCUUUGGCCAUAUGAAUUUUCUCCCUACAAUGGCAAGCAGCAUUUCUGUAUUUUUUUCAUGUCAACUACCCUGCUUCCAGUGGGCAUACACCUUCCUUUCUUACCUUUUUCCAAGAGAAGAUUCCUGUUCAGUCAAGCCAGCCUUUUGUCUCACCUGCUUGACUUCUGACAUUUGGGAAUUAUUUGCUCCUGUGCCCUUAGGAGGAGGUAAUGUUUAAAAAGUGACCAGCACUGAUGGUCCCCAGCACCCCCAGGGGAACUUACUAAUUCCCUGAGCAGCCUGAAGUCAGCUCUCCUCAUGUCCAGAGUUGAGGGUUUGCUAGCACUUUUCCUCUUAUAAACAGAGAUUUUAAACUUCAUCUCUUCCUGACUCUGAAUACAAGUUUUGUCAUCAAAGGUUAGAAAAAUAUUUCUCAGCUACCAAAAAUCAUGUACUUGGCUUAAAAGGCAUGAAUUUAGAAACAAAGUAUCUUUUGAGCUCUUGUACUUUCUUUCUGCUUGAAAAAUGUGUUUAAUUUACUCACAGCUUCAAUCUUUUCUAUGAAGAAAGGAGGGCAAAGGUUUACUUUUUUUGUUUAAAUGAAUGUUUUGCAGUGCAGUAACAUUAAGCUAUUGUGAUACCACAUGAAGGAGUUUUCUGUUGUGGAGUAAACUCUGAAAUCCUCACAAAGACAACAUACAAAGUAAUGGAACAUGCACAAGUCACGUAUUAUAACUUUGCUGUCACCACUACAACUGUAGGCAUACUGCUACUUUUGAUUUUUCUUCUUUUGUGGGCUCAUUUUCACCAUCAGUGAGAGGGUCAAGCGCACCAAAACUGCUUUUUUUCCAGAACUCUUAAAAGUUUCCCACACUUUUACCAGAAAAAUGGUUGCAUGAUAUAGAGCAGCUACCCAAAUUUGCCACCCCAGGCUUUACUGCUGGGUGCCGCUCUCUGUCUACUCUGUUUACCAUGGCUGUGCCUCUGAACUCUCCACAGACAGGGCUGCCAUGGACUCAUUAGACCUGGACAUUUGUCCAAGCUGUGAAGGACGCCAGCGCCUGCUUUGGCACUCUAUUGCAUGGGCAUCUGGUCCUAGUGCUGCUAAGUGGCUGAUUUCAACAAGCCAGUCAUGUGUCUCCACAUCACUCAUUUAUUCCAGGAGUGGAGAAGGAUAAAAAAAGCAUUUUAUGACAGGAAAAAAUACUAUUAUGGGAAACACAGUCUCCUCAUUCAGAUGCCCUUGUGUUAAUGUAUGAGAGCCAGCAAUGCUAUUAAAAAGAUAUUUUAAAUUAGCUACAUUUUAUUUCCUGCACCUCCAAUGUCAGCUUUUUUGUCUCUAUAUAUGUAGCCAAAGUCACUGGAAAUCCCAUUUUAUGGAUGCAUUUCCACCUUCAUUCUGUUACUGCCUGAAAAAUACAUCUGAACUCAAUGUCACCUUUAUGUUGUGGACGUAGAUACAAGCUUGAUUCACACAGCAUUAAUCUUCUAACAGGUUUAAGGAAAUGGCUGCUUUGGCUGCUGUUACUCCCACAACUGUGCUUGCUGUCCCAGUUAGCCUGGGGACACAGAGAUGCCCAGUACAGCAGGGCUUGUCCCAAAGUGUUUUCAGGUUUAAUAGACAAGGCAGGGGGGUAGUAAUAUGGUCCCUGUUUUCAAUGUUAGGGCUGUUUUCCAUCAGGCAAAACUGGAGCCUAAACCACACCUCCUACUUCUAAGACUGGAUCCCUGAUUUUGUACUAUCAUACUAAUGAGAUCUCUAAAAUUAUCAGUCCGUUGUUGACAGGAAGAAAAACACAUAGUGUCAUAAAAGAUCAACUCCAACAAUCCUAGUGGGGAUUUGAUGCUUCCAAGGCAAACCAAAAGAGACACGAAACAACAACCCAGCUUAGGCAAUAUACAUUGAUAAGGAUUUCUUCUAUAUUUAGCCUUUUGGAAUCUGAGAAUUACUUCAUCAUGUAUUUUACCCUCACGUAAUGAGAAAGAAAGGAAUGACAGAUGACGUCAGGAUGAAUUUGACUUUUUCUGUAUAUUUUUUAAUUUAUUUUUUAUUUAUUUGUAUUCUUUUACUUAUUCAUUUUGGGGCCCACUGGAUAUUCCGGUACUCACACUGAAACAAAAUAUUAGUAUAUUAAAAGUCUUACAUUGUAAAACAA